GACGAACCGUGCGAACGUUGUUCGGAAUCACUGGGCUUAAAGGGCGCGUAGGCGGGCCCGCAAGUCAGGGGUGAAAUCCCACGGCUCAACCGUGGAAGUGCCUUUGAUACUGUGGGUCUUGAGGGAGGUAGGGGCGUGCGGAACUUCCGGUGGAGCGGUGAAAUGCGUAGAUAUCGGAAGGAACACCGGUGGCGAAGGCGGCAUCCUGGACCGGUAUUGACACUGAGGCGCGAAAGCCAGGGGAGCAAACGGG
rnacentral:rRNA from 1 species